rnacentral:rRNA from 1 species
CCUACGGGAGGCAGCAGUGAGGAAUAUUGGUCAAUGGGCGUAAGCCUGAACCAGCCAAGUCGCGUGAGGGAUGAAGGUUCUAUGGAUCGUAAACCUCUUUUAUAAGGGAAUAAAGUGUGGGACGGGUCCUGUUUUGUAUGUACCUUAUGAAUAAGGAUCGGCUAACUCCGUGCCAGCAGCCGCGGUAAUACGGAGGAUCCGAGCGUUAUCCGGAUUUAUUGGGUUUAAGGGGUGCGUAGGCGGCCUUUUAAGUCAGCGGUGAAAGUCUGUGGCUCAACCAUAGAAUUGCCGUUGAAACUGGGAGGCUUGAGUAUGUUUGAGGCAGGCGGAAUGCGUGGUGUAGCGGUGAAAUGCUUAGAUAUCACGCAGAACCCCGAUUGCGAAGGCAGCCUGCCAAGCCAUGACUGACGCUGAUGCACGAAAGCGUGGGGAUCAAACAGGAUUAGAUACCCCGGUAGUC